GGCUGCGAUCCUGGACGGGUCGGACCACGCGUCCCUGCUGCGUGGCGUGCCCGCGGGCUCGGAUUCCGCCGCCGCCGC
rnacentral:tRNA from 1 species